AACCCAUGUUAAGGACAUUUUGGUAGGAGCUCCUUGAACCCGUCCCAUGUCUCAAAAAGAGACUCCAAUUCUAUUUGCACAAAAGAAUAUAUUUCAUUCCUAAGCUU